GGGGGGAAGUCAUGGAAUAUAUACAGACAACACACCUUGAACUCCAGCUACUGUAAGUUAACAGCAUACGUUAAUGUGGUGGAAUCCUUUCUAUUUUGGAUCAAGGUGUUCCGGACAUCUGAGGAACAUGAUCUCUCUGACAUCGAGCCAAUAGCCAAGUGGUGAGGUGGAGGGAGAUUGGAUUUAAAUAUGACAGCUCCCAGGAUCCUCUGCAUAUGGAAUGGGUACAAUAGAAUAAAUGGAGCUUUCAAGCAGUACAAUUUUUAGUGAAUAAAUGAAGACUCAGCACACCACUUCUGAAAGGUUGCGGACCCCUGCACUAAAGGGACAAUAUGGGAGUCUCCACAAAUACAGAGAUGUUCUCACAACCUGGAAAACAGUGAAGAACUGCCAACCUACUUCUGCAAAGACAGCAGGAUAAAGGUGAGCCUGUUGACCAGCUUGCACAAGGCCAGCCAGCACAGAGAAGCAAGCUAAAAUCUGGGUCCCCACUUUUUAACAGGGUGAAGAAGAGGCCACACAAACAGACUACUGGCUCUCUUUCCAGAGAUAGCCGACAAUGGGGAAGCACCCUCCCCUCCAUCUAGAACACCAGCUGACUCCCCUGAUAAAUUAAUCUAUUUGCAUCCCAAAGCCUUCACAUACAUGGAGUUGGACUGUACAUUUUUAUUGCACUGUAAAAUGAGAGGCAAAUAGAAGAGGAACAGUUCCUGCAUUAAGAACAUUUCUCUCUGUUACAGUAGCUUCUUUCUCACUCCUGUUUCUUUCUGACACCCCAGAAUUCUUCUCACCAGCUGUCACAGUGCAUUAUGGGAAGUGCCAUCUGUACUGGCAUUUCCUGAAUUAAGAACCACCACAAGAUCCUCUUUGUUAAUACUAGAGUGCUUCAAAGGAGGCACCAGCGGCUCUGGUACCUCCAAGGACACAAUCUCAGAUUAAAAGGAUAGAAAAAAGUCACCACCUUUUCUUUGCACCAACUGUCAAUUUUGCAAGUAUACCAUACCAGUUUUGAAAGAACAUCUGACAAAAGGGAGACAAGGCAGUUUUACAUCUUCAGCUGUCAGAUCAAGAGUAAAGACAGAAUAAAUGUGUCUGUGUAUAUGGCAUUUCUUUGAAGUUCCCAGAUUACUUCAAAGGUGCACUCC